ACCAUUAAUUAAUAUUCAACAACUGUUAUAUAUACAAAAGCAUCACAAAUCACCAAUUUUUAUACACAUAAUAACAUAGAUAUACAAAUUUAAUUAGUAUUGCACAAUGAUAGAUCCACAUCACAUAAACCAUCAAUAAGCACCACAACAAAAUCAUUCACAAAACCUACACAUGUUAUUAUGUUUUGUACAUAUUUGCAAACACCCUUUCAUGGCACCGCAUCGCCGACAGCUUCGGAUUCUUGAUCGCCAGAUUCAUCUUUCUUGGUGCUACGCUCCUGCUUCUGGUCAGGGCUAGCUCCGGCCUUGUCUUGCACUGACGACGUCAUGAACCGCAGAUUGUAUCUCCGAAGACAUUUUGGCUGGGAUGGGAAGGAGGCAUGAAAGCAAAAGGAUUCCUAAGUUAGAGCAUCUCCAAUAGACUAGAUAUAAAUCCUAUCUAAAUUUACAGUAUCGAGAGCUAUAAAAAAGAUAGAUAAGUUUUUAAUGGUGUCAUCACGACAUCAAAUGCGACAUCGACUAUAGAUUAUUUUUUUCCCAUUGAUCCUAGCAAUAUGGAGCAGACACGAUUGUCUGGAAAGAUAUGCAGAUCCCUGUGUAACCAUCACAAGUAUCAUUAUGUAACUAGAUGCAUCCACUUCCAGAUAACAUUGGCAAAAGUCGAUCGACUAGGAGUACCAGUGGACAAUUUGUCUUCAAAAAGUGAACACUGACAGCAUCUUUGGACAUCAAUAUAAUACAUCAAACGUAUAUGCACUACAAAGUAGUUCAAACAUAUAUAUGAACAUGUAACUGCAAAUGUAAACAUAUAACUUUGCACCGCACAAAAGAAACUAGCAGACCCUGUUGGCAGUCAGAUUACGCACAUAUGCGCAGCAAAUUCUGGUAACAGAGAAAUCUGGUAACUUCCAAUCGAGUUAUCUGCCUGACUGCCUCUUGUUCCACCCUGCCUGGGAGAAUUGAGGAACUCGACGCAUCUCUGCAGGUGGAAAAGGUGAAUUGCUGGAAAAAGGUGAAUUGCUGAAAACUGGAACCCGUUGACGCGUGAGAGAGAGGAAGAGUAGCAGUACUGCUAGCUAGCCGUGGCGAUGGACGACGGUGAUGGUUACCUGAACACCUCGCUGUCACUGUACCCCACGACGCCACCAGCGAUAGCCGCAGCCGCCUCGCCAGGCCGGUCCGGUAGCCGUGCGGAGGUAGUAGCCACAGUCCGCCUCGCCAGGCCGCUCCGGUAGCCGUGCGUCCGCCUCCUGCCCCGCCCCCAGCUCCCCGUCCUCCCCUUCCCCACCGCCGUCCAGCCCCCGCGCUAAGCAACGGCCCUGCAAAAGCCACACGUUCUCGUACCACGCGGUUACCAGAGAUCCGCGCGGCCGUACGCCCGGCCGGAGAUCUGAACGAAACAAAAAAACGUUAAGCAGGCAGCACCUUCGAGGCCGGUGUCCGGGCUUGCAGUGCCACCCUCUCCUCCUGCUGCUACAGCGGCGACGGCCUGCUCAGCGUGCGGCGGCUCCAUGGCGUCGCGGCGUCGCGGGGGCGGGGAGGGAACAGGGAAGCUCGGCGAUCGGUCGGGCGAUCGGAGUGGGAGGAGGAGAUCGGGGGGGCCUGGGGCGGUAGAGAGAGAAGAGAGAGAAAGGGGGAGGGAGAAGGAGUGGCGGAGGCUUGGGAGAGGGAGCAGGGUAGUGGCGGCUAGGGUUGGGGACAUGGCCGGUAUGGGCCUGGUGGGCCGGCUGAUUAGGUUAGGUUAGUUUUUUUUAUUUCUUUUCUAAUUCCUCUCUAAUUUCAAAAUAUAAUUUUAAAUAACCAUAAAAUUUAUAACAAUUAACUAAAAACUAUUUAUAACAAUUAUAUUAUUAAUUUACUAGGAUUUUCAAGAAAUGUUUAUUAAAUAUCCAAAAAAUCAAUUAUAAAUAAAAAAUCAUUCCAAAGGUAAAUAAAUAACAAGCACUUUUUUUAAAUUACUCAAAAAUUCAUAAAAAGCUAGAAAACUGUUCACCCCUUGUUUAUAAACCUUUGUCUCCCUAGAAAAACAUUCACUUGUGAUCCAUGAUUUAUCCAUACUCUUUAUGUAGGAUUUGAAACGACUUUCAACUCGAAUCUAAUAUCAUAUAAGCACAAAGAACAUAGUUGCAUACUAUAGUCAUGUCCAUACAUAAACAAACCAUGAAAUAAACAUACAAGCAAUAUAAAAAAGAAAUAAAUCACCACACAAUUUAGCGAUCAAUGUUUACUUGUUUUAAUUAAUUUUUAGUCACUAACAUCUAUAGGGGUACGUUCAGGCUAUAAGAUUUGAUAGUUAUCAUUGCUCUAUAGCGACCCACCGCUAGUCCCCGAUGACAUCUAUAGCGACCAACCAUAAGUUGUUAAAUUUCUUAACUUUUAGCGACCAACCGACCGUUGCUACAAAAAGAUUUAGCAACUGACCGUCGGUCCCUAACCUUUAGCAACCAACAGUUGGUACCUAAUAAGGGUCGCUAAAGAUCAACCGUCGUGUAGUGAUGUGAGACUACUUGGGUUAUUUAGAUAAAAUCAUUAGUCUCACUAUUCUAGUUAUAGAGAUAGUUUUUCUUUUUAUAAGUGUCCUAAGGAUUUGAAUUCCUUACAUGACACCUUAUCCUUUUAAGAAUUUGAAAUAUCUCUCUAUAUCUAGAAUCAUGGCAAUAAUAAAACAACUUAGUGAAAAACAUGCCAUGAGAUACUUGCAACAUUUUAAAGCAUGUAGAUUGCCAUAGGAUGGAAAUGAUGAGUAUGCAAUCUACCAUAUGAGAGGAAAUUCUUCAAAGAAUGGUAAUAUAAAUUUAAAGAUGUUUGAAGUGCUUCAAUUUUUCUAUGUGACUACACAAGACACAUAAGAAAUGAUAUUCUAAAAUAUUUGCACUUAAAAGAUAAGUGUUACCAUCCUUUGGCUUUCCUCCAUGUUGUAGGCCUUGAUUUUUCGCACAUGAUAUUUCUUCAUUUCCUACAACAUAUAAUAUCUUCCUCGAGAUGAUAUGAGCAUUAGACAUAAUAAAUUGAAAUAACUUUGGGUCAAUCUUGGAUAUAUAGAUUAUUGAAGAUUGAUAGCUUGAGUUAUUGAGUAUUGAAUGGACUCUCUCAAGCACCCCAAAGCUUCAUAUCAUCUCCUUCUCCUGGAAAGCUUGUCAAGCAUAUUUUGGUACCCAUCGCUUGAUGGGUCCAUCACGGUUAGUCAACAAAGAUCUAGGAACCCAAAAGUCCUUUGUGUUAGCACUAGGUAAACUCAUUACCUUUCUAGCACAAGUUGCAAUUUUGGGUUGCCUAGUUACAUGAAAAUUAAUUGACAAGCUAGGAGUGGGGUUGUUACCAAUGAGACAAUCUUUGCAUUGGUGUCCCUUCUUUCAGCAUAUGUAGCAUAGGCGAUCUUCAGGCCUCGAAGAUUUCUUCCUUCCUUGUUUCUUGCUUGCUACAUGGUUAGUGAAUGUUUUCUUUUCUAACCCUAUGCCUCUUUGUUUUAAAUGGGGACAAGAUCUAAGUAAGUGUCCCUUCUUGGAGCAUUUAAAACAAAGUCUAUCAUCCUUGUUAAUAAUCAAGCCAUUUUUAAUGUAGGGACAUGACCUAAUCAAGUGCCCCUUUUCAAAGCAUUCACUACACCUCUUAAUGUGAAGUGUGGCUUGACCAUUACCUUGGAAGUUACCUUUUGUGGAGGCGUGGUUAAGGCUUUUGGAGGAGGUAUUGAAUUUCAUCUUUCGUUUCUCCCUCUUGACAAUCCUCAAGUCCUUGACAUUUUCUUCAAGGGAUGUAGUGCAUACCACGGUUGUUCCCGUCUCAAGCUUCUUCACCAUGUGAUCACGGUUAUCUUGAGAAGGUUGAGCAAUGCACUUCCCUUUUAGUUGUGUCAAGCUCAUUUUUAGCCUCUCAUUCUCUUCUUUGAGCUUUUGAUAUGUAUCAUCUUUUGUUCCUGCAAAUUCUAGCUCAAAAGAAGAUUUGCUUGUCGACGGACAACAAGCAUUAGCACAUGGUAAUAUAGUAUCAAUUUGAAUACAUGUGCACGAGUGAGGUUGUUGGGAUUUUAAGUUUUCUAUCACAACCUCAUGAGUCAAAUUCAAUAUGAUAUGAUCAUCCAUAAGAUUUUCAUGAGAACAUAGAAGCAUAUCAUAUUUUUCUUGAAAAGCUAGAUUUUCAACUUUUAGCUUUUCUACUUGGUCCUUAAGCAAGGUAUUCUUAUUUACUAAUUGAGCGAUAUAAUGUAAAGCGUUAUCAUGCUCAAUUGAAACAGUUUCAUACCUUUGGACCAAAUCAACAUGAGAGCACUUUAGCUCCUCAUGUUCUUUAGUCAACUCGUCAAAGCGUAGCAUUUUCAUGGAGAGAACAUCUUCUAGCCUUUGACGAGCUUCGCUUUGCUCUCUCGCUCUUUCUAGAAGUUUGAGCAUGACCGCCUUAUCUUCUUGGCUUAGGCGAGCGUAGAGAUGCAAGAAGCUUCUUUCUUCCUCCUCAUCCUCAUUUGUGCUUUCGCUAUCAUUUUCAUUAGCCACACAACAUAUGUGGGAAUCGAAAUGGGAAGACAAACCUUUUGGAGAGGUGGAUUCAUCGUUUGGUCUCCAUCGUUCAUUUUCUUUUUCUUCCUUCAAAGGGUUAGUUUCACAAAUACCAAAGGAAGGAGAAGCACAAAAUGAACUAUCAUAUUUGGACUCGUCAAAUUUGUUUUUAAUUCUAGUCCAAAUAUCAUGCACAUCACAAAUGGGGUUGUCAUAUUUUAUUAUGAAGGCAUGAUAAUCUUCUUUGCUAAGGGAUUUACUUAAGAUGUCAUAAGCUAGAUAGUUUAAGCGUAUACAUCUUAAAUCUUCUUCAGAGGCAUUUUCCCUAGCAUAGUUAGGAGGAAUAAUAAUCUUGUCCAAAAUUUGUUCUAAUUGUGGAUCUACCGCUCUAAAAGCAUUUAUCACUCUAGUAGACCAUGAAUCAUAGUUAGAACAAUCGGAAAGUAAUAUCUCAAGAGUUACCUCCUUGUUCUCCUGGGUCUUCUUGUUCUUUUGGGAUCUUCUACGAGCCAUCACUUCGAGUUGUUAGACUCAAGAUGAAGUGCCUAGCUCUGAUACCAAUUGAAAGUCGCCUAGAGGGGGGGUGGAUAGGCGAAACCUGAAAAUUAAAACUUUAUCCCCCAACUAGAUCCCUCGAUUAGUGGUUAGAACAAGAUAUACAAAUAUCGGAGAAUAAAAACUAAGUUCUUGCUUGUAAAGUAUAUUGCGCUUAAAUAAUGCGGAAGUGAUAAAUCAAUACUACUAACAAGUUUAUCAGAAUAAAGCAAGAAGGCUUAGAUAAGAACAGUAAUAACACAAGUUCUCUCUUGCAAUGUGUUGCUUCACUAAAUAAGAUUUUAACUUAAAGCAACACCAAAUAGAAUUAGCAAAGAGUAGUGCAAGAGGAACCAAGAAAGACAAAAGACAAACAAAUCACAAGCAAUAAGCACACGAGACACGGGUGAUUUGUUUUACCGAGGUUCGGCCCUCGAAGGCCUAGUCCCCAUUGAGGAGUCCACUAAGGAUGGGUCUUUUUCAACCCUUUCCCUCUCUCCACCGAUCACACAAGGAUCGGUGAGCUCUUCUUCUUCUCAAGGAUCACUCUCGAUCCCGCAAGGACCACCACACUCUUUGGUGUCUCUUGCUAGCUUUUACAAGCCUCCAAAACUUUGGAGGAAGUUCAAUGGGAGUCAAAACUCCACGCGCAAAUGAACACAAAGAUGUAGUACACACUAUCUCUCAAUGAAUCUCACAAGGCACUAGAGCUAAAUCACACGAGAGGCUUUCUUUUGCUUGCUCUCGAUUUUGUGGCACUUGUGUGGGUUGUAGUGGUCUAAAUCUUGUGUAUAGGAUGGAUCAAUGAAUAUAUGUGGUUGGGAGGGCUUGAGUAUGUCAACUAGAUGACUUGGAAUGUUGCUUGGACUCCCACCCCUUGAAGUGGCCGGUUGGGGUGGUAUUUAUAGCCACCAAACAAAAUAUGGCCGUUGGAGAAGCUUGCUGGCGAUGGGCGCACCGGACAGUCCGGUGCGCCACCGGACAGUGUCCGGUGCGCCGCCAUGUCAUCCUCCCGUUAGGGCUCGGAGUCGGUCGACCGUUGGAGGCUUUGUCCUCAUGCGGCACCGGACAGUCCGGUGCGACACCGGACAGUCCGGUGCCCCUCUGACCGUCUGCUCUGGCAUCUGUAUUCCACUGUUCACUUUGCAGAGUCGACCGUUGCGCGCAGAUAGCCGUUGCUCUGCUGGUGCACCGGACAGUCCGGUGUGCACCGGACACUGUCCGGUGAAUUAUAGCGGAGCUGCGCCUGGGAAACCCGAAGGUGAAGAGUUCGAGCUGAAGCACCCUGGUGCACCGGACACAUUCCGGUGCGCCAGACCAGGGCAGCCUUCGGUUAUCCCUUGCUCUCUUUGUUGAACCCUUUUCUUGGUCUUUUUAUUGGCCUUUUGUGAACCUUUGGCACCUGUAUAACUUAUAGACUAGAGCAAACUAGUUAGUCCAAAUAUUUGUGUUGGGCAAUUCAACCACCAAAAUCAAUUAGAAAAUAGGUGUAAGCCUAAUUCCCUUUCAAGUAUCCUCGAACAUGAUGUAUGUAGAGGAGUAGCGCAUCUGGUGGUGCAACGACUAGGUGGACUACCUCGCUGAUGAGCUUGGGGCGCACUUCGCCUGGCAGCCCAGCCAAGAGUCAUCGGUACUCGCCAUAUCACGCGUGUUCAACGACUACUAUAUCAAGGAUUGUGGCAUCAUCUCAGCGUCGAAGGUGACGUAGAGGAGGUCCGACAACAAUGACCAGUUCGUCAUCCUCGCCACCGUCGGGGUAGCUUUUGCGCCGACCUGCCUUUAAUUCUCUACGCAAACACACACACUUGCCUUUUGUUUAAGCAAGCGCGUAUGGUGGUGCGUGCCGGAUGGCUGACGAUGUACGAGUGAACUUUUUCUAGUAGGUAUGCGACGUGCUCUUCAAUGAUGAGACCAUGCAAAUCGUGACAUAUAUCGAAAUCUGCAUGAUACUGAUGGUUGCAAUGUAGUGGUGAAACAACUAGAUUAAAAUAACAAAACUUAUGUAUAGCCAGGAUCACAAAUGGAUUAUGAAACCUUUUCUCAUAACAGUAUAACACACAUUUUGUAUAUAAGUUAUCAUGAUAUUAUAUGUUCCUGUUGCAACGCACGGGCACUCACCUAGUAUAGGUAGAAUAUAUGUGUAUAUUCAGGUCGUUCGACCUGGCCAAGCCCAAAAAGUCUAGCCCAUUUGAAUAUCGGCCCAUUCCAGCUCCUAAUUAUUUUAGGCCGCGUCGGAUCGACCUACGGGCUUAUCUCGCAGCCCACAAUCUGGUACGUAAUUGUUUAAACGUGUCAGGCUAAUUUUGAGUGAACCGAAAUUAUAAAAAGCGUGAAAAUUAAUUUCGAGCCCAUAAUUCACAUCAAAGUCUUAAAUCCAAAACAAACUUUAAUAAAAACAAUAAAAGAUAAGACAGACAAAUUUGAUCAAAGAAAACUUGAUACUAGAACUAUACGAUGACUACCUCGUUAAAAAAACCUUUUAUCGGAAGGAAAAAUAAUAUAACCAGCUUUAGACAGAGUUCAUAAGUUCAGUUAUUUGUCUAAUGUUUAUAACAAAAGUAAAGUUAUAUCACAUCCUCUAAUUCAAAGAUGCAACAGGUUGAAUCAGUCAGACAUUAAAAUAUUUCGGAUCAUGUUGUACCUCGAUUGUGUUUUUUUUUUUGUGAUUCAGACCAACCAUCCGACUCAACCUAAAUGUACACCGAUAGAGCAGAACGUGCUUUUUCCCAUGGGCGAACGGGCAAUAGUAAGGAACGAAUGAAGCGUGGUGGUUAGAGGGGAAUAUUCUAUACAUAUUGAAUGAAAACCCAUCAUGUUUUAGCCUCUCAUAUUUAUCAGCUACAUGUUCACAUAGACUGAAGUUACAAAAAGUCCCAAACAGUUAUGACUCUGUUUGUAUGGAUCUAUAAAUAAUAAAUGUGAGGGAUUGCAAUAUAUAUAUAUAUAUAUAUAUAUAUAUAUAUAUAUAUAUCUAUUACUACUCCUUAAGAGAGUACCGUAGGCGUGCACAAGCUUGGUUCUGCCAGUCUCCCCGCCGUCAACGCAGAUCCGCCCCCACACUCCUCCGUCGCAGGCAACACCGCCUCCCCUCUGCUCCGCGAUUACGGGGACCAAGGCCGCCAUCAACGCCCUCCAUCGCAGGCAACAUCGCCAGUCAUGGAAGGUUGCCGAGGAUCCCCACCCUCCUCCCCCUCUGCUACACGAUUACGGGCCUCUGCUAUGCGAUUACGGGGAUCCAAGGCUCAACGCGAAGGUACGCCGUCCCUCCCGCCUCCCCUCCCUUCCGCGAUGUUACUGCGCAACUGGCCACGCUGUUAGGCAUGUUCCGCCUCUCCUCUCCAUCGCUGGGCAACUGAGCUUCUCUCCCCCCGACUCCACAUCCACCAGCGAGUCGCGCCUCUGCCGCCGCCUGCUCGGGCGGGCAGGACCCAGCUCCCCCACGAAAUCCCGUCCCUCUGAGGAUCUCACAUCCCGCUCCCUCUGAGGAUCCUGUCGUCCUCCACCGCUACCGCUGGGAACUCGCCUCCUCUCAGGGUGAGCCUAGGGUUUCUUCUCGAUCGGGGAAUGUGCAGUGAUCGAGAAGCUAGAACUCGCUAUUGUCAGCGCCGCAGGCGGCAAGAGGAGCGUCUACCUCGUAGACCGCGGUCUGUAUGGGGUUGUGCGUCCACGAGCGGCCCUAUUGACGAGAUGGAGGACGCCUCCACCGUGGCCCUGCGAUUCGCCGACGUGCCGGUGCGCCUGCAUGCCAGCCGCCAUGACCUUGCCAGUCUGGACCUCGACGCCGACGCACUCCGCCUGUCGACGCACAUUUUUGGCAUCUUCUACGGACACGACGGUGUCGAGGUACACCUGUGGGCCUAGGGAACCCUUAGAAAGCCGCCCCUGUCAUCGAUGACCCUUGAUGAAUCGCUUCUUGUCACUGUACAAGUGGCCAACUACUGCCGGGAGAGGUUCCAGGUACUCUUGAGGUAGGAGUUGAGGCUACUUGGUAAGGAUUUGACAUGAAGUAGGGCGAGCUGUUCAUCGGGUGUUUCUAGAGGCUGGAUGAUGAGGUGUCAAGGCAGGCAAGCAGGCUUGUUCGUGGCGUCCAUGAGCCAUGGCCGGUGGCCGCCAAGAACGUGGGCUCAAAUGCGGUUGUCACCAGUUUGCUCAUCCCAUGCUGUGGUUGCCAACUGCGGGGAUUCACAUGUCGUUCUCCGCCGUGGAAAGGAGACAAUAGAGUCAUCGAUUGAUCGCACGGUGAGCCUUUUUCUUUUACUUGGAGUGAGCCAUGAUGACGAUCGUGCGAUUGACCCAUGGUUGUUAUAGUCUGACAUUAAGGAUGAGCAGGCGAGGAUUGAGGCGUUGGGACUGGGUGCAAGGUCAUCCAAUGGAAUGGCUAUCGAGUCUCCGGUAUACUUGGUAUGUAAAGAUUGAUUGGUAUGUACAUUGGUUCCUCAGCUAGAUCUUGGUAGAAUGACUCUUUAUGUGAGGUGGAAAGCAUAGUUAUAGCAACAUGAAAAUGCUUAUGUUGUUUCUUUAUGGCAUGCUCACUAGAUUCAUGAACAUCGAUGCAACAGUACCACUAUUAUGAAACAGAGAAUUAAAUAUGUGCCUUGUAGUAUCUUUUUUCUUUGAUCAACUGUAUCUCUUGAUCGACAUGAUGGUAGAUAAAAAUGUUUUUAUUCCUAGGUGCAAGCUAAUAACAAAGUGUUCUUAGUGCUUUCGAGGGGUGACUGAUGAACAGUUGUGCCAAAUUAGAGUAUUAUAGGUGUAGUAUUAGUUUGGAAUAACUGAAUAAACAGAAAGUAAGCAAACUUGCUUAUGGCUGAUUUAGCUAUCAAUAUCAGACCUAGGCAUGCCAAAUAUCAGUUACAACUUACAGUAUUAUUCCUUCUCAACCUCAUAUGAUAUUUUAUAUUUUCUCCAAGCUGUGUGAAAAAAAAUUCAACAUUAGUACAACAGAGGCUUGUGCACAUUGUCGAUUUAGCUCUUAGUAUGUUUCUUUCCUUUUCACCCUCAGGAUCCAUUUUUUGGGAUUUGUCCCAUACCAUUUCUGUUAACAUAUUUUCACUAACUACUGUAUUUUUUGUUUAUCUUGUUUUCAUACUCUGCUAGCUGUGGUGGACUGGUGGUAAAGUGAACCAGGAACAAUUUGAUUUCAAAUAUACAGUUUUGGUUUGAUUUUAUGGCAUUUCUCCUUGGUGUUUUGUUUUGGUUACAAUUAAUGGUUAAUGUUGUUUAGUUUUCACAAUUCUGAAUUUAAUUUUUAUCUUUAUGUUAUGCAUGUAGUACUAGAAGUACUUCGGAAAAGGAACUUGUAAGGAAGCAGGUCUUUGUCCUUGGCCGAAUGGGAAAUGCUAAGGAAGCUCUUUCGACAAUUAUAAACAAACUGGAAGUCAUGCAGAUGCAGGAGGUUCUAACUUGCCUUUCCAUUAUAUUACCAUUUCUAAGACAUCCUGUUCUAUAUUAGUCAACUUGAUAUAUAGGCUUGAAUUAUAAUAUAAAUCUUGAAAAUGCAUGUAGGUUGUUGAAAUUGUUACGGAGCAGCACGAUGACGAACUGUGGGAGGAACUGAUUAGACAAUGCCACAAGAAGCCUGAAAUGGUAACUGAAAUAAACAGUGCUUAAUCUUCCUUAGACUGAGGCAUCUUCUGUUUCUUAGUUCAAUUUCUAUGGCUAUUGGGCAGUUAAGGAAGAUUAACUUUGGAUCUGAUCAAUGUUAUUCUGAUUGCUAUGAUCCUAUCUACCAAUGUGGACAUGUAAAUGCCAAACAGAUGUGGCUGUUACAUAUGCAGGGUUGUUCAAAAUCCACAAUUCUUAUUCAUCGAUUAUUUCCUUCCAGUAACAAUUUCUUCUACUUAUUCAUGGAUCAUUUUGGUUUUAGCUGGUUGAGCACUUUUUCUCAAUCUCCAGUGAACACAUCUAGGAUGACUCUUCACAUCCGUCAGGUACAUACUGCGAUUGCUGAGGAGGUCACCAAGUAUACUGCGAUUGCUGCAAGUUUUUUUUUGAUUUUUUUGGCACCUGUUGGAUUUGGGUUGCAAUAUAUAUAAAAUGUACUUAACUGAUUUUUUGUGAGAAAUUCAGUUGUGGGGCUGUGCUACUUAAACGCAUUUAAAGUUCCCUUAGCAGAAAAUAAUUGACACUAGCUGUUGGAGGUAUGCCUAGGACUUGUUUAUGCAUUUUUAAAAAAUUCAUGCUUUAUUUGUUGCUUCUACUCUAAAUGCAUGUUUCGAGGAACUCUGCAAAUACUGUAGUCAAUGGCUAACACAACAUGUUCCUCACUUGGGGGAAACCCGGAAUAUGGCAUUCAAAUUGCAAUUAAAAGUUUUGCAGCUGAGUCAAAACAAAGAAUUGGUUAAUUAUUGAUAGAAAUUAAUGUUAGAUCAAAUGUUAGGCACCCAAACCUUGUCAGGUUGAUUGAUUGUUGCAUUGAAUGGAAUAGUAGACUAUUGGUGUAUGAGUAUGCUGAGAAUAAUAGUUUGGCGAAUGCCUUGGUGAGGGACUAACAAUCCUCGUAGACGUCACCUCCUACCCACAGCCAUUACUCCACCUCCAGUUUAUCAGGUCUGCCAAUCCUAUUUACCAAAAGCUCCAAGAUAUCAUUCAAGUAUUGUAAGAUCCUUUUUUUUUGGUUAUUUCCUUCCAUAAAUAUCAUUUUGCGAUGAUGUUUUGUUAAAAUACUACUGAUUGCCAUUAACUUGGGGUCGACUGUCUGCCUCAUGGCCAGUCCCAAAAUUUCAAUGCAGCAAUGCCGCUACCAAGCCCAAAUAUCCAAGAUGCUCACGAGGACUGGUACAGUAUACCAACAGUCGUAUGUGGUAUUGUUGUAGGGCAUGUUCCAUUAUCUGUAAUAAACAAAGGCAUGAAGUUGUGGUAGCCUGUUAGGUUGCACAAUUCUGGUUGUUAUUAGUUUUUCAAGUGGUUGUUUAAGGAUUUGUCUGUCUGUUUAUGUGUAUGUCUGCAACUUUUAGUAUCUGCCUAGAAAACCCUAUUUAAGGAACUGUCUGUUUAUGUGGUUCUUCAAGGAUUUGACUGUUUAUGUGGCCGUUCAUGUUCCACAAUUCUAUUUCAUGUGGUUGCUGUUAAUGCAUAUGUGCAUGAUCCGUAUAGUGCAUGUCUGUUGAAGGCAUGAAGUUGUGGUUGCUAUUAAGUCUGGAUGUUUAGGUGGUUGUUGGUAAUUUUUUUGAACAGACAACGGGGGGACAAAGAGUCCCCACCUGAUCAGAAUUUUUAUAUAUGUAACAUAAGGUAUAGGUUACAUAACAUGUUGCUGGUAACUGAUAUGUGCACAAUUUAGUUUUAAUGAGUACAUGUCGGCGAUUGCUGAGGAGGUUAGCGAGAAGUGGCGCAGAUCUAGGGGCUGUGUGCACACAGAAUCAAAGGUGCAGCUGUCAAAGUUCAACUAGCAUUUGUUUGCACUUUCGUAAGUCCAUGGCCAUCUCAAUUCAGAACAUGCAGUAUACCAUAUGGUCUGAUUACUUUUGGUGCUUAGGUUCCUUUUGACAUGGCUACAGAUUCUUUUUACGGAACAAGAAGAUAUAACCAAUAGACAUGAUCUGUAAUGAGGCUAUAGAUUACUACCAGACUCAAAGCAACUUAGGUCGGGAAUCUGGUAAUGAUAUUUAGCGUCAUUAAAUACCUUUAUUGUUAUCGACACUACUAUUGUUUUUUGAAUUUUAGUAACUUAUGUGUACCAUAUCAGUGAUCUGAUUAGUGUCACCUGAUGAGCUAUGUUUCACGAUAAUAAUGUCAUGUUGGCUUUGAUAACUUUUGUUUUAGGGCUCUCAAGCUUGCUGAACGCGAAGGGCGAGGGGGGUGGGCACCUUUUCAUUCUCCGGCAACUCUCUAAUCAUUGACAUCCUGCUUGAGUGAGGUAUGAGACCUGUCUUUUUCUGAACUAAUGUGAUGAUUGUUACUAUUAUUUCUGUUCACUAGGAUAGAAGCAUCCCUCUUUAUUUCUGUUCACUUAGACUAAUCUAUGAGGAUUGUUAAUUUAUUUCUGUUCACUUGGAUAGAGACACCCUCUUUGUUUCUAUUCACUUGGACAUAAGAUGGUAAUUUAGAAUUUGCUUCCUCCUGCCUUUUUUGAACUAGCAUGCUUCCGCCUAAACAAGGUUGGGAGUAGGCAUAGUUCACUCUGAGUCAUGUCUCCUCCUGCUUAAGUUCAAUAUUUUUGUGAAGUCUGAAUGUUCAAAUUCUGGUGUCAUCUUCUAUAGCUAUGCUUUGCUUUGAUCACUUUUAUUUUAGUGCAUGCUUCCACCUAAACAAGGCUAGGAGUAGGCAUAGUCCACUUUGAGUCAUGUCUCCUGCUGCUUAAGUUCAAUAUUUUUGUGAAGUCUAAAUGUUCAAAAUCUGGUGUCAUCUUCCAUAGCUAUGCUUUUCUUUGAUCACUUUUGUUUUAGUGCUCUCUAGCUGAACCUGUUGUCCAACAUUACUGACAUGGAAUUUUUUGGUUAACCUUAAAACCAGAAAGAGCUUGCGAAAUUAUGUUUGUGAUUCUCUGAGUUAUUCCCUAAAUAUGUGUAAGUAUAAGUUUUGAUCCCUGCUACUGUAUAGAUCAUCGUUAGGAAUGAAUUGCGGUGCUGCCUUAUGGUUAACCUUAAAACAAGAAAGAGCUAUGCUUUUCUUUUGAAUGUGAACAGGUAUUAGCAAUAGCCCCUCUGUAACGCCCCGAAUUUUGCAGUUGAAUUUUUUCUUUUCUUUACUCGCCAAAAUUCGGGCGUUACCUUUCCCUUUUCUUUUUCCCCUCGCUAAACCUUGACCUUUUCCAAAGUUCUAAGCGGGAUUCGGUUUGGAAUUCCCGUACGUAUAAAAACCCUAAAUACUUUAUGUUGUUUGAUGCACCAUGCCGCCCUUGCAUUUCUUUUGAUUGCUUUGAAAGUGCAAAUGCAUUCAUGUAGAAAGAUCGGAUUUCGAAAAUGAGAAGAAGAUCUUUCUUUCUCUUUUCUCUCUCUCUUUCUCUCUCCCCUCUCUCUCUCUCUCCCGCGCCCUGGGCCGACCCCGGCCGGCCCAGCCGCCCCCUGGCGCCCCCCCUUGGGCCCAAUAGGCCCAACCGCCCCCCCCACCUCCCCUUUUUCCCCCAAUUCUUUCUCCCUCCCUCUCAUUUUCUCUCAUUUUCUCUCCCUCUCCCUAAGCCGCCGCCCCUACCCCUGCCCUAAGCCGCCGACGCCCCCUGCCCAACCGCCGCCCUCGGCCGCCCCUGCCGCCGACCGCCCCUCGCCGUCGCGCCCCUCCCCGGUGAGCUCCCCCCUCCCCCUCUCCUCCCUCCCCCAUCCCCUCUCCCCUUUCCCCAUGGCCGGUUCGGCCGCCUCCCUGCCCGCCCGGUCCGGCCGCCCGCCGCCCAGCCCAGCCGCCAUGGCCGGCUCGGCCGCCCCGCCCCCCUGCCUCGCCCGGCUCGGCCGCCCCACGGCCGGCUCGGCCGCCCCCUGCGCCGCCCCCUGCCCCGCCGGUUCGGCCGCCCCUGCGCUCCGCCGGUUCGGCCGCCCCGCCCUCGCCAGCUCGGCCGCCCCUGCGCGCCCCGCCUAGGGCCGGUUCAACCGCCCUAGGGCCGGUUCAACCGCCCCCCCCCUUCUGUUUUUUUUAUUUUUUUUUAUUUUAUUUUAUUUACUUUCUGUGAUCAUAAUUACUGUAUUUUAAGUAGGCUAAUCACUGUUCAUGCUAUGGGAAAAUAGGAAGUUUAAUUUAAAAUUCCGUUAUGCUAUUGAUUCCCGUAGUUAAUUGUUUACCCUGUGCAAUGUUGAUCAACUAAAAGUGAUUAGGUUCCCAUUAGUAUAUAUAAUUAUGUAUAACAGAAUUAUUUUGUUAAAAAACCAAUUGUGUCAUUAGUGCAUAAGAUUUAACCCCCUGCGAGACCUUUCCCGUUUCUUUCUAACCAUAACAAAUGCGUUAUCGAAUGUCAUACUUGAUGCAUAUUCGCUUUAUUGGUUAUCUUGUAUGGUGUACUGUUCUUUUGUAUUAAAUAUGUGGAUGUAUGUAUGUAUGUUUGCGCUCGCAUAGAGAACGAUCCGGUCGAAGAGCCCGAGGAAUUCGCAGGAGAAGCCCCUGAGCAGCAGUCGGUUGGUGGAGGCAAGUGUCCUUUGACCUAUCUAUGUCCUAUUCAUUCUUUAAUUCACCUCCCGCAUUACACCUUUAUACCUAAGGAUUGACUAGCUUUUGUUAUCCAUGUCCUUGUUUACCUAUUUGGGUCGGAUUAUUACUACUUAGUCUGAUGCUAUUGCUCAACUCUAAUCAAUGAACAUGAUGUGAUUAUCUAUGAUACGCUGUUUUCCCGUUCUUCUUUAUGAUUAUACUUGUGGUUUUCAAGGGGACUCGAGCGGUUUCUCGAGUGCCUCUCCGUAAGGACCUGUUCUAUGGAUGACCGCCCGGGAAAACAGUGCAACCAUGAGGGUGGAAUGGGGUGCCCUUAGCUGAAUAAUUAGAGGAUCCGGGGUGUAGUUCACUUAGCCGUCGUGCCGUCAAUGGGGCUCGGUGUAUGCGGCUCGCUCUGCCAAGUUUGGGUUCGCCCCUUGGGGAGGAGUGCGGUGCAUUUAGGAAACCUAACGGGUGGCUACAGCCCCGGGGAAUCUUUGUAAAGGCUUCGUAGUGAAUCCCUGGCCAUUCACCUCGGGAGUGAAUAAGGGUCUUGCAAGCCCGGGCUAGAGAGGGAAUCACGGCUUGUGGGUAAAGUGCACAACCUCUGCAGAGUGUUAUGAAACUGAUAUAUCAGCCGUGCUCGCGGUUAUGAGCGGCCAAGGGAGCUCCAGUGAUUAGUGGUACUUGAUCAGAGAUAUUUUGGUACAGGUGGUUAUGAGAUUGAUGGUUCUGGUUAUGAUUAUGGUGCUGGUAAGUGGUAUUCUUUCCGUUUGGAAAGGGUACAUCGGGUUAACAACUUGGGUUAAUGUUAAAACCUGGCUUUCUACUAGUAAGUAAUAACCUGACCAACUAAAAGCAACUGCUUGACUUAUCCCCACAUAAAGCUAGUCCACUACAGCCAAACAGGAUACUUGCUGAGUAUGUUGAUGUGUACUCACCCUUGCUCUACACACCAAACCCCCCCCCAGGUUGUCAGCAUUGCAACCACUGCUCAGGCGAAGAUGAAGCUGUGGAAGGAGACUUCCAGGAGUUCCAAGAUUACGACGAGUUCUAGGUGUGGGUUAGCGGCAACCCCCAGUCGGCUGCCUGUGAAGGCCGUGUUAUCUACGUUUCUUUUCCGCACUUUGAUUUAUUGUAAGAACCAUAUGGACGUCUCAGACGUAUGAUGUAAUCGACUAUUUCCCUUAUUAAUACCAUUUUGAGCACUGUGUGAUGAUGUCCAUAUUAUGUAACUGCUGUGUACGUGAAUAACUGAUCCUGGCACGUACAUGGUUCGCAUUCGGUUUGCCUUCUAAAACCGGGUGUGACAUAAGUGGUAUCAAAGCCGUGCUGACUGUAGGACCGCUAACCUAGAGUAGAAUGGUCGUUCUAAGGAUUAUAGACCUCUGUCUCUUCCUUGACUUUGAUAUCCCUUCAAAAGUUGGUCCUACCGACCAAACCUAUGUUCUACUAUAUAUUAUACCUUGCUAAAAAUUGUGUUUUAUUCUGAUCCUUCAUUUACUUAUUACUUGCUGGUCAUAUUAAUUCUGUUCUCACCCUUUUGCUUGCGAUGUCUUUUGUAGAUGGCUCGACUUAGACACACUGCACGAAAGUCAGUCAUCCCCUUCUUACCCUCCCGCCUUGCUGAGCGUCCGCUUCGCCGUCCCGUGGCCGGACAGUCCAGCCACUUGGAGAGACUACACCACCGCCUGCGUGAGGAGCAGGAACGUCGACGACAGGAGCAGCAGAGCUCUUCCUUCUCGCUCCACCAGGAGAUAGAGUCUGUGAGGAGCUGCUCCCCUGUGCUUCCUCUGGAGCCGCCCCCUGCACCACCACUGGGCGCCCCAGCUUCUGGAGUAGCUGCUGGAGGAGACCCAGACGACGGAGAUGGCGACGACAGCUCGAGCCACGACACCGACUUCUCUGCUAACCCUGAGCCGGAAGGAUGGGUUGCUCGACCCAUCACUCGCGACGCUGCUCGCGGGUGUCACUUCCACGAUGCGCUCGACACCCUGCUACGUCGGGCAUUUGACCGGCAUACUUGGUCCGUCGAGUAUCGCUGUGUGGUCUACCAGCAUAGUCGCGGGGUCUACCCGGACCGCUGGGAGGCAACUUGCUUGGUGCGCUGCCCGGAGGACAGUCUCCAGGGUGCAGAGGCCUGUUCAGAGCACUAUUCUAUCUCUGAGCGGGACUCAGCUGAGGCAGCCAUGCAAGAUGCUGCACGGCGUGCGCUUUCGCACUACUGCUCGGUUUUCGGUGGGGCAGCUGACGGUCUUGACCUGAAGUAUUACCCCCGCCGUUCAUCUGGCAGCACAGGAGGUGUGAUUGUCUCACCUGUCGGUGAGGGCAAUCCUAGGUUGAGCAGCACAGUCAACCUAGCCGCCGUGCUAAACACGGAGCUGGACCAUGCAUUAGACGAGCUGAGUAGGGCUCGUGCUGAGAUCGCCCUGCUGCGGGCUGAGCGCGCGGAACGUCGUUUUCUGGACGGUGGUUCCCCCGCUCCCGUUGGGACUCAGCACCCGUACCGCUCACCUCAACGUGGACACCAGUCUUAUGGCAAUCCCGCCUGCAAGACCAAGAUAAAUCUAGAACCAUAGAUCGUUAGAGUUGGAUCUUGUAAUUAAUACGAAAUAAAUAUAUACAUAGAAGCUUCAGUCUUAGCGUUAGUCUCGGUCUUAGUUAGUUUUAGUUAGACAGGGUAGUUUGCUAUAUCCUGUGCAUUUAUGUUUGUCAUGAUGAACUAUGUUUGGUUUGGAUCUUUGUAAUGAUUGUCACCAGAGUGUGGGUAUCCCCUGCAUUUUGGUUUACAUACUAUGUCAAUAAAGUUAGUUAUAUAGUUGGGAAACCCAUUAUUCUCCUUUCCUCUUUAUCUGAGAAGCUGUGUGGUCUGUGUUGGAGAUCAGUGAAGAUGCUCAUCUGUUCAGUGCUGUUGGAGAAUUCUAUACUCUUUUCUUAUGCUGCAAGCUUUGCCAGAUCAGUUCUGAUGUGUGGUUGCGUUCUGCAGAUGUCAGAGAACAGGCGUAGAGGAGGAAGGCGUGCUCAGCAGGAGCGAGCCGCUCCGCAGGAUGAGGUGCCCCAGCAGCAGCACCUGCCGCCCCCGCCCCCGAUGUCGAUUGAGCAGAUGUUUCUGAUGCAGACUCAGGCAGUUCAAGCCAUCGGUCAGACUCUGGCCGCCAUUCAGCAGCAGCAGCAGCAGCAACAGCAGCAAGCACCACCCCAGCCUCAGAUGCCUCAGAUGCCUAGAGACAAGCGUGCUGAAUUCAUGAGAGGUCAUCCACCAACGUUUGCUCACUCUUCUGACCCCAUGGAUGCUGAAGAUUGGCUGCGCACUGUGGAGCGGGAGUUGCAUACCGCUCAGUGCGAUGACAGGGAGAAAGUUCUGUAUGGUCCCCGUCUGUUGAGAGGAGCAGCCCAGUCAUGGUGGGAGUCUUACCUCGCCACCCAUG
rnacentral:lncRNA from 1 species